CGGAGGGCGCGAGCGUUGUUCGGAAUUAUUGGGCGUAAAGCGCACGUAGGCGGCUUUGUAAGUCUCACUGUGAAAGCCCGGGGCUCGACCCCGGGAGGCCAGGGGAUACUGCGAGGCUGGAGACAAGCAGAGGUCGGUAGAAUUCCGGGUGUAGCGGUGGAAUGCGUAGAGAUCCGGAGGAAUACCAGAGGCGAAGGCGGCCGACUGGGCUUGUUCUGACGCUGAGGUGCGAAAGCGUGGGGAGCGAACAGGAUUAGAUACCCUGGUAGUCCACGCCGUAAACGAUGGGCACUAGAUGCCGGUGGGAUCGACCCCUUCGGUGUCGCAGCUAACGCAUUAAGUGCCCCGCCUGGGGAUACGGCCGCAAGGCUG
rnacentral:rRNA from 1 species